ACACUUACCUUACAGCGGAGAUACAAUCACCUAAGUGUUUUCCCCAGACUAAGACAUAUCCAUUGCACUCCAGGAUGCUGACCCUUGGUAUUUCCUCUAACAUGGGGAACUCAACUGCAUAAUUUGUGGCAGUGGAGGAACUGCAUUCAAGUUAGUCCCUGCA
rnacentral:snRNA from 1 species